GAUGAACGCUGGCGGCGUGCUUAACACAUGCAAGUCGAACGGAAAGGCCCUGCUUUUGUGGGGUGCUCGAGUGGCGAACGGGUGAGUAACACGUGAGUAACCUGCCCUUGACUUUGGGAUAACUUCAGGAAACUGGGCUAAUACCGGAUAGGAGCUCCUGCUGCCUGGUGGGGGUUGGAAAGUUUCGGCGGUUGGGGAUGGACUCGCGGCUUAUCAGCUUGUUGGUGGGGUAGUGGCUUACCAAGGCUUUGACGGGUAGCCGGCCUGAGAGGGUGACCGGCCACAUUGGGACUGAGAUACGGCCCAGACUCCUACGGGAGGCAGCAGUGGGGAAUAUUGCACAAUGGGCGGAAGCCUGAUGCAGCAACGCCGCGUGCGGGAUGACGGCCUUCGGGUUGUAAACCGCUUUCGCCUGUGACGAAGCGUGAGUGACGGUAAUGGGGAAAGAAGCACCGGCUAACUACGU
rnacentral:rRNA from 1 species